UAUUUCAACAAUGCAUAUCCUGUUCCUAAGUACUAGUGCCGCGGGAGUGAUAUCCCUAUUUGUAUCUCCUGCAGCUCAAGUGCUUAUCAACGGGAAAAAGCACAUCAACCC